UAGGGAAUCUUCCACAAUGGGCGAAGCUGAUGGAGCAACGCCGCGUGUGUGAUGAAGGGUUUCGGCUCGUAAACACUGUUGUAAGAGAAGAACGUUGGUGAGAGUGGAAAGCUCAUCAAGUGACGGUAACUACCCAGAAAGGGACGGCUAACUACGUGCCAG
rnacentral:rRNA from 1 species